rnacentral:sRNA from 1 species
UAACACUGGAAGAUUAUGUAUAGAAACAAAAUCUGACCUUAUAUUAAAUGACAAUAUUUAAUCUUUUCCUGAUUAAUAGUGUUAAAGAUCGUCAAUCUAGAGUAAUGCUUUGAAGUACUUUGAAGUGAUGAUGUAUAUGUAUUUGCUACAUAAGACCGGAUAUACGCUCUAAAAAAGCAAAUAGUCGGGAUGAAAUAUUUUUCCACCGAGAUCUCUGAUCAUUGUAUUUCAACGUUUAACUCAAGAUGACUUUUUAUAAGUCUUUUAGAUUCUUUCCAUUUUGUUACAAUAUAAUAACUA